rnacentral:tRNA from 1 species
GUCCAGGGAUGGGAAUCGAACCCACAAUGUUCCACUUACCGGGCAGAUGCCAUGUCCACUAGGCUACCCUGGA